UGAAUAGGGCGAUUCAGUCGCAUGUCCUAGACCCGAAGCGAAGUGAUCUAUCCAUGGCCAGGUUGAAGCGACGGUAAGACGUCGUGGAGGACCGAACCCACUUGGGUUGAAAACCGAGGGGAUGAGCUGUGGAUAGGGGUGAAAGGCCAAUCAAACUUCGUGAUAGCUGGUUCUCUCCGAAAUGCAUUUAGGUGCAGCGUUGCGUGUUUCUUGCCGGAGGUAGAGCUACUGGAUGGCCAAUGGGCCCUAAAAGGUUACUGACGUCAGCCAAACUCCCGAAUGCCGGUAAGUAAGAAGCGCAGCAGUGAGACGGUGGGGGAUAAGCUUCAUCGUCGAGAGGGAAACAACCCAGACUACCGACUAAGGUCCCAAAGCGUGUGCUAAGUGGAAAAGGAUGUGGAGUUGCAUAGACAACCAGGAGGUUGGCUUAGAAGCAGCCACCCUUGAAAGAGUGCGUAAUAGCUCACUGGUCAAGUGAUUCCGCGCCGACAAUGUAACGGGGCUCAAGCACACCACCGAAGUCGUAGCAUUCAAACUAUAGGUAGGCCUUCGUGGUCCAGCCGUGUGAAUGGGUAGGAGAGCGUCGUGUGGCGAGCGAAGCGGCGGAGUGAUCCAGCCGUGGACGCCACACGAGUGAGAAUGCAGGCAUGAGUAGCGAAAGACGGGUGAGAAACCCGUCCUCCGGAAGACCAAGGGUUCCAGGGCCAGGCUAAUCCGCCCUGGGUAAGUCGGGACCUAAGACGAGGCCGACAGGCGUAGUCGAUGGACAACGGGUUGAUAUUCCCGUACCCGCGAAGAACCGCAAGAGCUAAACCAGUAAUGCUAAGAGUCCGAAUUCUCUUUCUGAUCCCUUCGGGGUGAGGAUUGAGAGCUAGCACUCGACCCUAUGCUGGCGCGGCUAGCGUAUUAACAGGUGUGACGCAGGAAGGUAGCUGAGCCGGGCGAUGGUUGUCCCGGUGUAAGGAUGUAGGGCGAGGAAUAGGCAAAUCCGUUCCUCACGAAGCCUGAGAUCCGACGCGUACCCCUCACGGGGGAAAUCAGUGAUCCUAUGCUGCCGAGAAAAGCAUCGACGCGAGGUUCUAGUGGCCCGUACCCCAAACCGACUCAGGUGGUCAGGUAGAGAAUACUAAGGAGAUCGAGAGAAUCGUGGUUAAGGAACUCGGCAAAAUGCCCCCGUAACUUCGGGAGAAGGGGGGCCGGAUUGGUGAAGGGAUUUACUCCUGGAGCUAUGAAGGCCGCAGAGACCAGUGGGAAGCGACUGUUUACUAAAAACACAGGUCCGUGCUAAGUCGCAAGACGAUGUAUACGGACUGACGCCUGCCCGGUGCUGGAAGGUUAAGAGGAGCGGUUAGCACUUGUGCAAAGCUGCGAAUUUAAGCCCCAGUAAACGGCGGUGGUAACUAUAACCAUCCUAAGGUAGCGAAAUUCCUUGUCGGGUAAGUUCCGACCUGCACGAAUGGCGUAACGACUUCCCAGCUGUCUCAACCGCGAACUCGGCGAAAUUGCACUACGAGUAAAGAUGCUCGUUACGCGCAGCAGGACGGAAAGACCCCGUGACCUUUACUACAGCUUUGUAUUGGUGUUCGGUGUGGCUUGUGUAGGAUAGGUGGGAGACUUUGAAGCGGACACGCCAGUGUUUGUGGAGUCAUUGUUGAAAUACCACUCUGGUCACUCUGGAUAUCUAACUUCGAACCGUAAUCCGGUUCAGGGACAGUGCAUGGUGGGUAGUUUAACUGGGGCGGUUGCCUCCCAAAAAGUAACGGAGGCGCCCAAAGGUUCCCUCAGCCUGGUUGGCAAUCAGGUGGCGAGUGUAAGUGCACAAGGGAGCUUGACUGUGAGACUGACAGGUCGAGCAGGGACGAAAGUCGGGACUAGUGAUCCGGCAGUGGCUUGUGGAAGCGCUGUCGCUCAACGGAUAAAAGGUACCUCGGGGAUAACAGGCUGAUCUUGCCCAAGAGUCCAUAUCGACGGCAUGGUUUGGCACCUCGAUGUCGGCUCGUCGCAUCCUGGGGCUGGAGUAGGUCCCAAGGGUUGGGCUGUUCGCCCAUUAAAGCGGUACGCGAGCUGGGUUUAGAACGUCGUGAGACAGUUCGGUCCCUAUCCGCUGCGCGCGUUGGAAAUUUGAGAGGAUCUGACCCUAGUACGAGAGGACCGGGUUGGACGAACCUCUGGUGUGUCAGUUGUCCUGCCAAGGGCACCGCUGAUUAGCUACGUUCGGGAUGGAUAACCGCUGAAAGCAUCUAAGCGGGAAGCCGGCCUCAAGAUGAGAUUUCCAUGCCCUUCGGGGCGAGAGGCUCCCAGUAGACGACUGGGUUGAUAGGCCGGAUGUGGAAGUGGGGACUAAAGACCCAUGAAGCUGACCGGUACUAAUAAGCCGAUAACUUGACAC
rnacentral:rRNA from 1 species